AUGAGGCAGACCAUGGGUUCUUACUGUGAUAGUGUAGAAUGUUGGUUAACUGUGGACUCCCUGGCUGUGUCUCAA
rnacentral:pre_miRNA from 1 species